rnacentral:tRNA from 1 species
GCUUUCAUUGCUCAGUUGGUUAGAGCAUCCGUUUAGUAAGCGGGAGGUCUUGAGUUCAACUCUCAAUGAAAGCA